CUUGAAGGAUAAAUUCUCAGACUUUAUCCAAAACAUGAAACAAAUUCUUCAAACAUAAGCUGCCAAACUCAUCAACUUGUUCAGAUCCCUGUAAUGUCGGUCUCCCCAAACGCCGCGCUUAGCUCUGUGAUUGGCUGUUUAACACUUGCGGGCCGUGGAGGUGGUGGGCAGGGGGGUCCGUCCGGAGGGGACUGUUCAACAAGCCUGGUGUGUUGGCCCCUCAGAAGAUCAGACUUCUGGAAUCGAUUUGGGUUCAGAAUUGCAUUACCGAAGGAAUGCCGAGUAUGCGCGGGCCUUGAUGGCUUGUGAACCACACUUCCUGAAGCUGGCCACAAGCCAGCACCGAGACCAUCAGCAUCUUAAAAAUGAAUUCUUUAUGAGACAAAGAACAAGCCACCCAAUUUCUGAAAUCACUGAAGUGGAAAGCUUGUCUCAAUGGAGCACUGACCAAGACAGAAGACCAUGGUGAUGAGGUUUUGCCUUCAAUGUAAAUUUUCAUAUCUAUUUCCUUCUGAAUAUCUUACAAAGAAGACAAAGAAAAACCUACCUGAACCCAUUGCAUUUUUCUACUGCCACAGAAUGAGCAAGUCCCUACCACGAUGGACUACACCCUCUGGAACUUCAAGUCUUUAAGUCGCACUUUGUCACAGCAACAAGAUAACCAACUUCAGGAGAGAAGCGAGCACUGGAGGAAAACUGUGGGAGGUUAAGACAAGAGGAGGAAAGAGAAGAAUGUGACACUCCACUGCUAAACGAAGUUUACCCAGCCAGCAGAAGAUCAGAGAAGGAAUGUACCGGAGACUGAGGACUCUGUAGAUAGAUGGUCUACCCUCUGAGACCCAUGUGGGCUCCCUGUGAAGGGAGAGCACCUGUUAAAAAGGGGUACAGUAGCCGGGCGGUGGUGGCGCACGCCUUUAAUCCCAGCACUCGGGAGGCAGAGCC